GCUGGGUACGUUAUUUAUAAAUGUAUUCUCCCUUCAUCCAAAAAUAGAUUUAGUAAGGAACGGUCCCAAUUUUAAAGUAAU